UGUGAGGCACAAAAUAAAAUUUUUCCGGAGAUGGGUUUUGGGGAAAGGGGUUAGUUUACUUUCUUUAAAUUUUACUAUUUUUUUCAUUUUAUUAUUUUUUUCUCCUUAGUUCAAUUAUUUCUUAGGACAUUUUUUUUAUGUUCAUGCUCGUUGUACGCGUGAAUUACAUACUUGUUAUCCAACUCAGCUAUAAUGCUGCCACAUAUGAUCGGUCAACGGCCAGAGGGUUUAAAUAUAAGUUUUGAUAAGCUAAAAGAGUUUGGAUAAAAAUAAAUUAAGUAAAAGGAUCGGAAUAACAAACUGGCACAAGAAUAAGUGUAUUUAGGCUAUUCUACCAAACUUAAACCUAAAAGUCUAAACCCAAAUUGGGUUACCCAAUUCACAAACGCCCAGCGCCCUAAUUUCUGAGAGGAUUUCUCCACAAACGCCCAGCGCACAAUCUGAAAAUUAUGGAGUCUCAAGACGAACAAAAUCCAAAAAAAGUAAGAUGCUCUUUGUCUGAGACUCUAGCAUAGUACGAUACGCAACCAACUCUCUCGAAUGUGACAUAAAAUGUAGCCAUACAUUCUAUAAAAUCAUUUGCUUUUGCAUCAAACUUCAGUUUGACCGAAUAAUAUUUCAGUUUGGGAUCAUCAAAAUUUAACACAAUAAUUGUUUCUUCUAUUUUGAAUACAUAUCUUCCAUACCCAGCAUCCGGCCUACUGCAAACAAAAAAUGGAAAUUAGUGCCGACCAAAGUAUGUACGUAGGAAAUGAGAGAAAUCAACUUACUUCCACGAGGGUUUGAGCCACACGAAGUUCAUCGCGGGGGACCGGAGCGUGGUUGAGGGGAAGAAGAGGGGACAGGGGAACUCGUCAUUCUCCAUCGGUCCCUUCUCUCUCGAUAGAGAAUGACGAGUUUCCCCCUCUCCCCUCUUCUUCCCCUCAACCCCGCUCCGGUCCCCCACGAUGAACUUCGUGAGGCUCGAACCCUCGUGGAAGUAAGUGGAUUUCUCUCAUUUCCUACAUACAUACUUUGGUCGACACUAAUUUCCUUUUUUUUUUGUUUGCAGGAUGCUGGGUAUGGAAGCUAUGUAUUCAAAUUAGAAGAAAUAUUGUGUUAAAUUUUGAUGUUCCCAAACUGAAAUAUUAUGCGGCCAAACUGAAGUUUGAUGCAAAAGCAAAUAAUUUUAUUGAAUGUACGGCUGCAUUUUAUGUCACAUUUGAGAAAGUUGUUCAAGCGCAUUGUACUAUGCUAGAGUCAUAGACAAAGAGUAUUCAUGUUGAUGCGUCUCUUAGCUAUACCCGAUUCAAAGGAAAUGGUGUUUUGUUUGUUGAAAAGUUAUGGCAUGUAUCUAUUACUUCUGCCUUUACCCCUUCAUCUAUGGAUCCCCAUAAAAUGGCUAUGUCUCUAUGGAAGAAGCGCAAGAAUAACUUUAUAUGCUUUACCUCUGUUUUUUGUUUUGUCACCAAUUGCCUUGAUUUUAGUUGGUUUUGCCUGAAAACUUUGUGAGGGUCACCAUGGUCCAUGGUGGCUUCCUUGAUUGAAAAUGUAUGAGCAUGGCCUUUGGACAUUCCUAUUGUAAGACAAGGCAUCGUCUAUAGCAGUUUCUUCAAUUUACUUA